rnacentral:rRNA from 1 species
CAAUAGCGUAUAUUAAAGUUGUUGCAGUUAAAAAGCUCGUAGUUGGAUUUCUGAUCGAGACAUCAGGUCGGGUCCGAGAGGAUCACGUACUUUGAUUUUGUUUUGAUCAUCCUUGGGGAGAGCAUUUCUGGCAUUCAGUUGUCGGGAUUGGGAUCCUCAUCGUUUACUGUGAAAAAAUUAGAGUGUUCAAAGCAGGCCUCGGCCUCUGAAUACAUUAGCAUGGAAUAAUAAGAUAGGACUUUGGUGGUCUAUUUUGUUGGUUUGCACGCCAAAGUAAUGAUUAAUAGGGAUAGUUGGGGGUAUUCGUAUUCAAUUGUCAGAGGUGAAAUUCUUGGAUUUAUGGAAGACGAACUACUGCGAAAGCAUUUACCAAGGAUGUUUUCAUUAA